UCUGUGCAUAUAUAUGUGUGUGUCUCUCUACGGUUGUACUUCUGUAAUGGUCACCUCCAGGCGAAAGAGAGCUAAUAUCACAGUGCAUUGGUUUCUGUUCCUGGUCGGGACAUGUUAUUAUAGCCUGUCGUGUUGUCAUGCCCUCUACACUGCAGGGCCCUGUUCUCUCUGCUCCCUCUAUCACAUUCCCACAUCACUAAAGCCAGGAAAAUGGUUUUAUCAUAUCCCCCUCCACAGGGAGGUUCAGAGGUCAGGUUCUUCCUCAGAACUGCAGUCCUGGGACUGGAAGGGAUUCAAUGAUGCAUCAACAGGAUGGAUACUUGCCCAAAGUGAGAGGCUUUGUGGUGCAAUCUGGGUGAACUGUGGGCUGCAUAGGUCACAUAGUUCAGUGUCUGACAGUUGACUCUUCAGGAGUACGGACCCGGGAAAAAAGGUCAAAAUAUGUUUUACAAGAGCUGAGUGAUAGACGUCAUCUUAAUGAGACAGACAGUUAAUAUAAUUUUGCAAUUUGAGGUUGUUACGUUCCUCCGGAAGGUAAGUCCAGUGGGAGGAGGAGCAACAAUAUUUGAAAUAAA